AGAGUUUGAUCCUGGCUCAGAACGAACGCUGGCGGCGUGGAUAAGACAUGCAAGUCGAACGGGAUUACUUUUGUAGCAAUACAGAAGUAAUUCAGUGGCGAACGGGUGCGUAACACGUGGGCAAUCUGCCGAAAAGUGGGGGAUAGCUCGCCGAAAGGCGAAUUAAUACCGCAUGUGGUGAGGGACGACAUCUUCCUGAAUCCAAAGCCGGGGCAACCUGGCGCUUUUUGAGGAGCCCGCGGCCUAUCAGCUAGUUGGUGAGGUAACGGCUCACCAAGGCUAUGACGGGUAGCUGGUCUGAGAGGACGACCAGUCACACUGGAACUGAGACACGGUCCAGACACCUACGGGUGGCAGCAGUCGAGAAUUUUUCUCAAUGGGGGAAACCCUGAAGGAGCGACGCCGCGUGGAGGAUGAAGGCUUUCGGGUUGUAAACUCCUGUCAUUUGGGAACAAGGUGCACACGUUAACUGCGUGGGUAUUGAUAGUACCAGAAGAGGAAGGGACGGCUAACUCUGUGCCAGCAGCCGCGGUAAUACAGAGGUCCCAAGCGUUGUUCGGAUUCAUUGGGCGUAAAGGGUGCGUAGGUGGCGCCGUAAGUCGGGUGUGAAAUUUCGGAGCUUAACUCCGAAACUGCAUUCGAUACUGCGGUGCUUGAGGACUGGAGAGGAGACUGGAAUUCAUGGUGUAGCAGUGAAAUGCGUAGAGAUCAUGAGGAAGACCAGUGGCGAAGCGGGUCUCUGGACAGUUCCUGACACUGAGGCACGAAAGCCAGGGGAGCAAACGGGAUUAGAUACCCCGGUAGUCC
rnacentral:rRNA from 1 species